rnacentral:rRNA from 1 species
AUUGAACGCUGGCGGCAGGCUUAACACAUGCAAGUCGAGCGGGGGAAGGUAGCUUGCUACCGGACCUAGCGGCGGACGGGUGAGUAAUGCUUAGGAAUCAGCCUAUUAGUGGGGGACAACAUCUCGAAAGGGAUGCUAAUACAGCAUACGUCCUAAGGGAGAAAGCAGGGGAUCUUCGGACCUUGCGCUAAUAGAUGAGCCUAGGUCGGAUUAGCUAGUUGGUGGGGUAAAGGACUACCAAGGCGACGAUCUGUAGCGGGGCUGAGAGGAUGAUCCGCCACACUGGGAGUGAGACACGGCGCAGACUCCUACGGGAGGCAGCAGUGGGGAAUAUUUGACAAUGGGUGGAACCCUGAUCCAGCCAUGCCGCGUGUGUGAAGAAGGCCUUAUGGUUGUAAAGCACUUUAAGCGAGGAGGAGGCUACUCUAGUUAAUACCUAGGGAUAGUGGACGUUACUCGCAGAAUAAGCACCGGCUAACUCUGUGCCAGCCGCCGCGGUAA